rnacentral:rRNA from 1 species
GAUGAACGCUAGCUACAGGCUUAACACACGCAAGUCGAGGGGUAACGAGAGGAAAGCUUGCUUUCCUUGUCGACGACCGGCGCACGGGUGAGUAACGCGUAUCCAACCUGCCCCCAACUAGGGAAUAACCUUGCGAAAGUAAGACUAAUACCCUAUAAUUUCCUCAGAUGUCAUCUGACGAGGAAUAAAGAUUUAUCGGUUGUGGAUGGGGAUGCGUCUGAUUAGCUUGUUGGCGGGGAAACGGCCCACCAAGGCAACGAUCAGUAGGGGUUCUGGGAGGAAGGACCCCCACAUUGGAACUGAGACACGGUCCAAACUCCUACGGGAGGCAGCAGUGAGGAAUAUUGGUCAAUGGGCGGAAGCCUGAACCAGCCAAGUAGCGUGCAGGAUGACGGCCCUAUGGGUUGUAACUGCUUUUAUACAGGAAUAAAGUUAGCCACGUGUGGUUAUUUGUAGGUACUGUAUGAAUAAGGACCGGCUAAUUCCGUGCCAGCCGCCGCCGUAA